rnacentral:rRNA from 1 species
AGGGCACCACCAGGAGUGGAGCCCGCGGCUUAAUUUGACUCAACACGGGAAAACUCACCCGGCCCGGACACUGGAAGGAUUGACAGAUUGAGAGCUCUUUCUUGAUUCAGUGGGUGGUGGUGCAUGGCCGUUCUUAGUUGGUGGAGUGAUUUGUCUGGUUAAUUCCGAUAACGAACGAGACUCUAGCCUACUAAAUAGAUCGUCGGCUUACAAACGCCGGCGAGACUUCUUAGAGGGACAGGCGGUGAUUCAACCGCACGAAACAGAGCAAUAACAGGUCUGUGAUGCCCUUAGAUGUCCGGGGCCGCACGCGCGCUACACUGAAGUGAUCAGCGUGCUUUUUCAACCUACUCUGUCAAGAGUGGGGAACCCAAUGAACCUUCUUCGUGAUUGGGAUAGGGGAUUGUAAUUGUUCCCCUUGAACGAGGAAUUCCCAGUAAGCGCGAGUCAUAAGCUCGCGUUGAUUACGUCCCUGCCCUUUGUACACACCGCCCGUCGCUACUACCGAUUGAAUGUUUU